rnacentral:rRNA from 1 species
UGAGGGAAUAUUGGUCAAUGGGCGGGAGCCUGAACCAGCCAAGUCGCGUGAGGGAAGACGGUCCUAUGGAUUGUAAACCUCUUUUGUCGGGGAGCAAAGAGGCCACGUGUGGUCAAAAGCGAGAGUACCCGAAGAAAAGCAUCGGCUAACUCCGUGCC